UACGGAGGAUCCGAGCGUUAUCCGGAAUUAUUGGGUUUAAAGGGUGCGUAGGCGGCCAGAUAAGUCAGGGGUGAAAGUCGGCAGCUCAACUGUCGCAGUGCCUUUGAUACUGUUUGGCUUGAAUUCGGUUGAAGAUGGCGGAAUGAGACAAGUAGCGGUGAAAUGCAUAGAUAUGUCUCAGAACACCGAUUGCGAAGGCAGCUAUCUAAGCCGUUAUUGACGCUGAUGCACGAAAGCGUGGGUAGCAAACAGG
rnacentral:rRNA from 1 species